rnacentral:rRNA from 1 species
GACUUCUGGUUUAAUGCACCUGGCCCGCGGCCCACAAGGCCUGUGAGUGCCGGCGCGCGUUUACCAUCCUUCCAGCAACGGCUACCCUUAACUGGGCGGCUGGAACUGGAUCUUUUACUUUGAAAAAAUUAGAGUGUUUAAAGCAGGCGUUUGCUCUGAAUACAUUAGCAUGAAUCUAGGACUUCGGUGAAGUAAUGAUUGAUAGGGAUAGUUGGGGGUGCUAGUAUUGGCCGGUCAGAGGUGAAAUUCUUGGAUUCGGUCAAGACUAACUUAUGCGAAAGCAUU